UCUAUGGCCCCUGCUCAGGAACUGCAGUUACUACACUUGCCCCCAGAGGGUGCUACAGACUGACCCUAAGGCAGACCAUCUACGGGCUGGCCAGAGAGGUGUCAUGUGACCUGGCAGGAUGGUCAUGUCCAUGAGGAACCGGACCAGAGAAUGUGAAAAGCAGCAGCCAAACAAUCAAGGGCAUCCUAAGAGGGCAGUGUGGGCUGUGACGUGCAAGCAGAGAGGGUGGCUGGUCCCUGGAGCCGUGUUGGUUCCCCACGUCCUUCAAACUCCAGUUUCAGUCCACGUGUAACCUUUCUGCAAAGCCCUCUCUACAUUAGGUGCCCUUAGUGAGACUCCUUUCUACCCAAAGACCCUGACUCACAGCAGCAAGAUGGAAACUGGGCAGGACACAGGAAGUAGAGGCACGGAGAAGCAGCAGCCCGGGGAAGCCAGAGCAGAAGGCGGCAACUCCCAAAAGGUGCCGAAGUGAGGGGAAUCACGGUGAAACAACACAGAAUGACCAUGGACAGUUGUACAGGAUAACAGGAAGGAAAAUGCGUAAGAAUUAUCUGGCGGGAAGCAAAGCUUUAGCAAUUUAAGCCUGGGCAGUGAGAAACUGCAGACUCUACAGGACGAAGGAAGAGGACAACAGGAACAGGAGAGAAAAGACAACAAGGAACUGUCCUUCCCCUGCUCUGCUCAGUGCUGCUGGCCCAUGAGCUCUGCAAGCUGAAUCUCUAGGCUGUCACCACCAGUCAGCUGCUUCCAGCCAGACACUGGCAGGAGACUGGAGGGCGAGAAGAAGGAAGAAAUCAGGGUUUUCUCCUCCUCCGCUUCAUGCAAAACUUCUGGCAGUGAUCGCCUUCCCCAUGCCUCCAAAUCCCCAGACAGACCUGCACGGUUGGCUGCAGUUUCUCUCGGGGCGGGGGCGGGGAUCACAGCCUAGGCUUGGAUAACACCACCUGCUCCCUUUUCCUCCCCAACCAGGGGUGUGCCAGAGCUGGCUUGUACUGGCUCACAAGGGCAGAUUGUUAAAUACUCAGGAAUUUUGCAAGCUGGUUGUUAAACUAAUGCUAGCUGGAAAUUGGCCAAUGCUACAAAUCAAGGCAUUUUUUUUUCUCCAGGGGGAGCUAGUUACCAGCACACUGCUGCCUCCAGGCUUCCUGUAGCUGCCAGUCUCAGUUUUGCCUCAAUGUUCCCUGAUUGGUAUCUCUUUUUACCACCCUGUAACCAAUUCACUGCACUACAUUCUAUUCUACAUGAGGACUACUUUCUGUUUUCCUGGUGGGACCGUGAUUGAUGUGCCGACGAUGAUAUCCUCAAGAGCUGUGUGCCAGCUCCCUUGUGAGAGCUCCUCAUUUCUUUCCAGCACCUGAAGGAUCUUCCUGGCUUCUUCGUCAUUUAAGAAACUGAAAUCAAACCCCUGAGGAACCUUCGUCAUUUUCUCUCCUGUGUGUGAACUGCACUUCAGCUCCUUGGCGCCUUCUGUUACGAGGACAUUUUUCAAGGUACAGAAGACCAGCUUCAGGAACCUGAUCCCAUAACCAAUAAGAAGGCCGCCCCUUUGAAAAUCUAAAACCACAAAGUGAGGGAACAGCCCACACCUACGGGUUCAGGUCGACAACACCUUAAUGACAUGUUUCGCUCCACCUAUCCAACCGGGAAGCGAAAGGCACGGCCCCGCCGACAGAGGGAACCAAUCCCAUUCCAAGGGGGCGGGGCCUUCCUCGUCUCCUCCCCCCCACCCGCAGCCUCGGCCUAUCAGACUUAAUCAAACUAACAAUUCUCCACAAGGCCGCACCUAGAGGAGGCCCGAGCUGAAGGGUUGGCGCCAACGUGCUGUGUUUUCGCUGUUGCUCUUUGCUCUCAGAACUCGAGCUGGACUAGUUGAAGGGCUGAGAAAGAAUGCGAAUCACAGUUAAUCCUCCUUUUCAAAGAAGAGCCCAUAGGAAGUAGAAUUGCAGUAGGAGCUUUGGAACUGGCACAAGAGUUACCCUAUUUGAAAGAAGGGCUGAACUCAAUGCCCUGGGGGCUGUGGCCUGACCAGGCCCAAGGGAUAAAUUUAGUUCCUGGAAAUGAGUUCUUUGCCAAGCCUCCCUUCUCACAGACACCCCCAAGCCACCCUCCUACAAAAGUCAUUGUCAGGCUUUAAGGAAAACAAGACAAAACAAAACAAAAUAAAACAAAAAACUUUUACAACCGCA